rnacentral:lncRNA from 1 species
GGGACAUGAUUCUAACAGUGUGAAGCAAAAGUUGCGCUGCUUUCAAUUCAAAUCUUAUAUAAGGAAAGUGAUUUGAAUGAGCCAGCGCAAGGGCUGAUGGAUUAAGAUAAAGACUAUCGAACCAGAGAUCCACAAAGUAUCAUACCAAACCAUAUCGGAUGAGAGCAAGCAUAACUAUCACGACACUGUGGCAAUCCUAUCCAAAGGUGUAACCAAAUAAUCUAGUCCAUCAACAUCCGAAGCAAUCACCUAUAUCUAACUUUAGCGCGCAUUUCAAAAUUAUAAAACACAACUUGCAUUAACUUUGGUCCGACAAAACAAUCAAACUGAAACUCAAAAACAGAGUUUGGUUUUAACAACGAAGAAAACACAAGAAUAAGAAGAAAAAAAGAGAGGCUCUCUACUUAGAUCGCUGUCUCAUCUUUCGUCUCUUCCUCUUUAAUCUCCUCAUACGCUUCUUCUUCCACUGAUACAACCCAAAAACACACCAUUUAGAUCUACUACUCUCACGAUUCUUAAGUUAGAGUAUCCCUAAACGAAAACAAAUUGAAGAAACCCGUAACUCACCUUAGCCCUCAUGGUGAAUUCACAGAGUAUGCACUCUUCUUCUUCACUCCUCUGAUUCUUCUAUGCAGAUUCCAGGAUUAAGAAAAUGAGCGGCGGACAAAUCAGAAAGAGUUUUGUUCGCUUCACUCAUAUUGCUUCUUUAUACGACUGCCAAACCCUAGACACUCGUUUCCUCCUUUUGCAAGUAUUGGGCCUAUCGAUAUUAGUUAUAUGCCCAAUAAAGCCCAUACUAAAGCCUUUCUUAAACCAUAACCAUUCGUGUGUAUGUAAAAUAUCUUCUUCUCCAUUCCACGGCCAUGCAAAAUGUUAAAUUAAAAAAUCUUUAACUCACCCAAAGACAAAAAAAAAAAAACAUAUUAAAUAUCUUUAAUCACUAUCACUCUAUAGCUGUCUCUCUCAUUGCCUUGGCAACGANN